ACAGAUAGGUCCAUCAGACAACAAAGGUAUCAACAAAAAGGUAUCAACAAAGCCAUCAGACAACAACAAAGAUAAGACGAAGACAGGGAACAUGCCUAAGAGAAUCUCAAAAAGUUUACCGGACAGCUACAAAGUAACGAGGAUAAAGGAUGAAUCUGCGGCAAAAUCAUUGCAACAAAAG